CUCUCUCUCUCUCUAGGGUUUUUCUCUCUCUAGAGAAAAACCGUCGAUUCGCGCCGUUUUCGCACCGCGCUCGUUGCUCGCGGAUUGGAGGACUCAAGGAAAGUCUUUGGCACGUGGGGAGAAGGUGUUUUGCUGUGUUUCCUGUGAGGUUACUACCUGAGAAAGCUGAAUCUCAGCUUUAGAGAGGUAAUCAACUAGAUUUCUCUCUAGUUUGCCGUUUAGUAUUGAAAUUACACGCUGUUUUGGUUUUGUUGCUUCUACUUGAUUUAGAAGAUGUUUUCAGCAGUAAAGAUGAGUUAUUUUGGCUACCAAUUACCUACUUUAAUUCAGGGAAAACUUGUUUUAAAGCUUGAUGAAGAUAAUUAGUAAAUUAUGACUCGAAUUCGAAGAUAUACGCGGUUUAAUCGCGUAGUUGACGCAGUUUCGUAUGAUCUCUUCGCAGCAGGUUGUUGAGCCUCUUUGGGCUAAACUUAUACCCCUUAGAAGCUGGUUUGGAAGGUGUUCCAACUUCGGGUAAGCAGGAAUUUCAGCUUGGAAUUAAAUUUUGCGAGAAUUCGACUAUUAUAGCUUAUUGUCGUUGCCGUUUCGGUAUUGUUCGCAGCGAGAGGGUAUUUGACCCUUGGACCGUCUUCGACUGGCCUUGGAGGACCUUCUGGAAGCUUAACGUGAGGUAUUGAACUAAGCCAAAACAGGGAUUUAAGCUUUUCCAAUGUACAAAGUGUAAUUGCGCCGAAAUUGGCCUUUUCGAUUGUAAGUUUGAUACGAUAUGUAUGCUUCGUGUUCAGCAGGAUUGCGACCUAGUGGAGCUGAACUUUGGAACUCCUUGGACUUUUUUGGAGCCUAGUACUAGGUGGGUCGGACCUAACCAGAGCAAGUGGAGCUCCCCUAUGUUCUAUAUGUGCUAUAGAAUUAGUGUUGUUGUGCGCUUUGGUGUUUGAUAUAGGACUUGAGAAGUAAAUUGACUUGAAAUCUCUAUAAAGUAGAGAACACAUAUACAUGAACGUAUUUAUCUUUAUAUUCAAUUCAGUUGAAUGACUUAUGAACAAGUGUAGAAUACACUUAUGAAAUGUAGAGAACAAUGACAUUCUCCUUUACUCGCUUGAUUACAUGUAGAAAACUAUGACAUGCUUGUUCUUAUGUUAAUAGUGCCAUGAUAGUGAAAGAUCCUAAUGCCAUAUGUAAAUUAGCAUUACUCCUGUAAGCUUACUAAACUAGUGGAUUCUAGUUGUUGUUAAUAUUUGUUAUACUGAAAUGUCGAUCAAAGGAUCGAGAGCGAGAAACAUUGCAAAUGAAAACAUGAUAAUUGAGACAUGUUGGACUGUGAACUUUGCUUGCUUGCCAUCGUGCUCAUUCGCACACGCUUGUGAGGGUAGCUCCCUACAAGCCGGCACUCCGGAGUUGGCCUACGCGACAGUUGCUCGCCCGUGCGGGAUUGGGUGCCGAAGUGGAUUGCCGUGGGGAGUGUUUACUACCACGGGGCCAUUAGGCGCGGCGCAAGCUGGACUACCUUGAGUAGGUCCCUGUGAAUGAAAGGAAAGUACUAAAUGAAAAAGGACAGUAAUGAAUGUUUAUUACUUAAAGUGCAC
rnacentral:lncRNA from 1 species